GUUUGAUAUUGUUUACAUGAAUUGUUGUAAAUGACAAGAUUUUCACUGCUCAUUAUCAGACACAGAGGAUGAUGUUUAAGUGAAUUCAGAAGACUGUCGCGCAGAGCUGAAAAACCUAGGUAUGCGUUUGUUUGAUGAUUAAAUACUGAUACUGAGUAGAACUAGUGGGGUUAGUGAAUGACAGCAAAAAAGUUCAAUUGAAUCUACAAAGAUGGCAAAAUAGACAGUAUUUAAAAAUGUCUUUCUCCAACAGGCAGAAAUCUGAACAAGUGCUGUAAAUGAUGAGCACCAAAUAAAUGCUCAUAAUCACACACAGAGGAUGAUGUUUAUGAAAAUACACAGUCAUCAGUUCUCAAAAAAAAAGAGCUUUUUAAUAUCCUUCCUUCCUUAUGAUAUCUUCAUAAUGGGACCAUAAAAGACAGACACAUAAAAGGUUUCCACAAAAAAGGUCUUGGUAUAUUGUAAAACAGGCACUACUGGAGUACACUGUAUGUACACUACUGUACAAAGGUGUGACUUCAGGAUGGUCCAAGGCUGAAAUAGUACAUUUUUAAAAAGAUUCACCUACAACAUUUCCUGGAAUCACAAAGCAUAUAUGAAGCAUGACGCGCGGGUUAGGAAACGGGGGAAAAGUUAAUUAUCCAACAGGUAGACAUCUGAAACUGCUAUAUUUUUAAAUAAAUAUUUUAGAUGUUGUAAGUAUAUGUGAUCAGGCAUCACAAAUUCCAAGGACUUUUAAAUUGUUAGAAUUACAAGCAGUGGAUGAUGACAAUGUGAACACACAGCAGAUGCAUCCGAAGACUAAACAAUGCACAGCUUCAUCUAGAUACAUCAUCAUAUCUGCUCUUGGUCUUCUGCUGCUUGGAGCUUUAGCAUCACUCUGUGCUGUAGGGAUCUUGUAUCACAAUAAAGUUGUUUCCACGGAGAUGUUAAGUGAAGGAGACGAGAACACUACAGCCGAACUGAUGGGGCUAAAAUACAAAGCCACUGAUUCGAGAUUACUGUGUGGAGAAAGGAGGUCACCUGGUGAUUAUAACCAGCCAAACUGAACAGGGCUUUUUCUUCUCACAAAUUGGAGAAACACACUGGAUUGGCUUGAAUGACUUGGAGACUGAGGGUCA